rnacentral:lncRNA from 1 species
AUUCUUCUUCUUCUUCUUCUUCUUCUUCUCUCUCUCUCUCUCUCUAAUCUUGCUUUAUGAUGAUUGAAUUGAUGAGUAAAGAUACUAUUCCAUUCCAUUCCCACCAAGUUUGGUUUUGUUUUGUUUCUCUCUAGUGUGUAUACAUUAAUAAUCAACUUACCUUCAUAUUUCAGCAACCCUCUUCCAUGAUUUUUGCUUUUUCUAUAAUUUUUAAUACUAUAUAGUUUCAAGAGAGACCUAAAAUGAAAGUGUAUGAAUAUGCUAUGACCCACCUUUGGAUUUAAUGUAAUAAAUCAUAUGGUUUUUGACUGUCAGAAAACAAUUAAAGAGAUAGGGUAUGAAAAACCAACAAGGGAAAGAAAAAAUACAUUGAAGAUUAAUGUAAGACACAAGUAGGCAAAAUAUAGUACAUAAUUUCAGAAGUGUAUAUGAGGCCCCUAAUAAAGCAUGGAUCAUGGUGUACUUGGAAUCUAAAUGAUUUUGUUGUUUCUACUAUCAAUCUAUCUAAGCACUAGUGUAAGAGAGAUCUUGAUUAAAAAGAAAUGGUGUGUGUGUGUGUGUAACUGUGUACUAUCACUGAAGUGCUGAACCAACUUAACCAUGUGGAUGUCUAUAUUUAUAUAUGUAGACUAUUUAGUACACGAAAUCUCUUCUACAAAUUGCUAUUUUUGGCUUAAGGUUGAAAUUUACAAAGUUGCUUACAUGUGUUAUUAAAUAGUCAAGAUUUUGCUGAUCUUUACAUUUAUUAUUAUUUUAUUAUACAUUAUGAGCACAUAAAUAUUGGAUUUACCUUCUGGAAAGUUAUUUAUUUCAAAUCAAACCAAUGAAGGAGUCAAAUGAAUCGCAUUUUUACUUUUGAUAUCAAAGAAGAGUGUUUAUUGAGGUUUUGGCUUUCUAGAAUGGAAGGCUCAUACAAUGAUAAACAUGAUAAUCUAGGCUAAGCAGUUGAUCCAGAACCUUUGGCUGUAUGCUCAUCACAUUCCUCGCGGUUGUGCAAUUUAGACCAUCAGAUCAAGUGAUCAAACGGUUCAAAAACACCGAGCAUUUGUUUGAAAAGGUCCAAUUCCACGGCGUGGCCGCUCAUCAAUUGUGAAGCUUCAGUUUGUGGCUUCUAGAUAUCACUGAUUUUAAAUAGACCUGCGAGAAUGAUAACUUAAACGCCAAAUCAAACAUAUGCUACGCCCGAAUGCGAAUAAAGUCAGUCUGUAAACAACAAAGGCACAAGAAUGUACCGCCAAACUUUCAAUGAUCCAUCAUGCUGCAGUUAGCAUGCACAAUAUCUGCAAGAGCCUCAUUAAAAGCAGUUGUAACAUGUGAAAGGUGAUGAAAUUAAAAGUCUCUUUUUCUGUACAUUUAUAUUUCUUUGUGAACAUUAGAAAAAUGAAUAAGAAACAGACGGUUGUGAUUUGUUCAAUCAUCUAGAUAAAGUACUUGAGGCAUCACCAGAACCAGAAAUUGAUAAGAAGGGAAACCAAUAUUUUCUUUUUGGUUUUGGUUGGCUUUUGUUUUCAUACACAACAAUGGGACAAGAGAUCAACCACUCAAGUUCUUUGGUGGAUUAAAAAAUGGACAAAUUAUUAUUUAUCACUUUACACUACUAAAUACAAAAAUUGACCUUUUCACAUUGGAAAAAUUAUACGUUGGCUACUUAACAAAACAAAUUACUGAUCAUAAAAUUAUCAGAGUAAAUAAUUUUAUAAAAUAAAAUAAUAAUAAAAAGACUUUUAUUGACACUCUGAAGACAGCUAUACAAACGUGUGUUUUUUCCACAUUGUAAGGUGCCAUUUUCAAUUUGCUAACUUUUUGAAAACGUGCUGUACAAAAAUGACAUAAUUUUCAACGCAAUGAUCUUUCAUCAUGCGCAGUAAUCAACUAUCCCCUCUGUGUCAAAAAAUAAAUAUCAUAAAUUUGCAGGAAAAAAAGUGGAAUUAACGAAUAGAGUUACAUGUAUAUAAUUCUUUUUAUAUUGUUCAUACAUAGUCUUUCAACUCAUAAAUUUAACCAUACAUAAAUAUAACUGUAUUGGCACAAUAUCCAGCUCUGGCCAAGUAAAAAAUUUCAUGUCAUUUCUUAAAGGAUUAUUCAUAAACUGUCUCAAUUCUUAUUCAACAAAAUAAACCUGGAGGAAGAUCUUAUGAUCAUUAUGUACAAAGAUGUGUGUCUUUGAGAGACAAUUAAUCUUACACCAUUUUAAUGUCUGCAUUUUAUGAGUGUUACCCCACAACAAAUCGCUAAUACGCGAAAGUAUACAAAGUAAACUAUUUGACUUGUCAUUGUAUAUAUUGGAAAUAUAACUAUAUUAUUUACUUGUCUAUUUCUCAAGGCACACAACUUGUCAUCCCCAGGCCCCAGCAGAUGGAUGACCGGUAGGAAGCUGCAGCAUUUCAAAUAGAAAGGGAUUAGAAUAGAAAUAACUUCUCAUACAAUCUCAUGUUUUAAGUGGCUCCUUCACUACUUUUUUGACAUUUAGCAAACUUUAUUACAAUCCACGACUGAGUUGGUAACUUUGAAUAGAAUUUAUAAGAGAUUAAUUUCUGAAUGAAAAAAAAUGAUGAAUCUUGGAGACAAAAAGUGCGUCAGUUGAAUUCAAGUUUGAUGAGUUUUGGAUCAGUACCUCUCCAUCUUUGAUCUAUGUAGUAUUCAAUCACACUUGUGGCUUAGCAGCUUGGAGCAUCUCAACAAUGAGAGUCUUAACAUCCCUAAAAGGAAAGCAGUUAACGGUUACUUAUCUGCAGAAUUAUUUAUAAAAACAACCAACAUGGUGCAAACUGCAAACCGAAGACAAUGGGAUGCUCCCCAAAAAGAUGAUAACAGAGAAAAUUGUUAUCUGAAACUUAACAGCACCAAAUUUAAUCUAAUUAAUUCAGAUGUGUCGUUUUCUCCUAGAGACGGGAAUUUAUAUCAAAUAUGAUGUCUUACUUUCUAUCUUCUGCAGGUCGAGGGAAAGGUACACGGAGCUUGAAAAUAUCUCCCUGAUAACCAGCCUACAAAAAAAAAAUCAUUUAAACGAAAGGUAAAAAUUCAAAACUAGAAAAAUAGUAAAAGAAAGAUCGACAUUCAGUGACCACAAAAUAAGGAGAAAAUAUAAUUGAAAGAAUAACUGAUAUUAAAAAAAAAUAAGAGCAGCAAUACCUUAACAUUGAAACCUAGACGAUCCAAAUCUAAUAUGUCAGCAAAGUCCACCUGCAGAUAAUCAAUUCAGUCAACAUUGAAGCCAAACAUCAUCAGCCCCAAAUCUAAUGUAAUGUAAUAUACAUGAUAAUCAGAAAGUCAUCCAUAUGGGUUUUCUUAUGCCCGCUUAUACACAAUCAUAUCAUAUUGAACAAAGGCUUAAUAAAGAAAAUAUCCAUGAUAUUAACAGUUGAAGUAAAGUGUUGCUUUUCUUGCUGAUAUUGUAUAUUGUAUAACGGGCAAAGUGACAUACCGGAACUGAGGUCCAGUGCUGCACAAUCGCUUUAGUAUCUUCACCAUGAUCUUUGUUCAUAUGUGACUGUCAAACAGCAAUAUUUACAUUAAAAGAGAAAAACAAUGGCAGUUUAAGAAAUAAAUCGUAGACAUGUAAUACAUUNNNNNNNNCGCCACUGGCUUGGAAAACUGAGCUAUGGGGUCAACUUUUGCAGAUUUGUACUCAUCUCCAUUAAACUCUGAAAUCAAAGUUGAAAAAAUAAGCGUAAUAAUACUGUUUCUAAUAGAUAAUAAAGAAAAUACACAAGAAAUUCACUAAUGGGACAGUGAUGAUGAAUGUUAACUCAUGAAGCUACCAAUUGCGAUGGGAAUAUAUUUUGGUGUCCAUCAAUUAAAAAUAUUUUAAUCACUUCAAAAUGCAAGGAUUCCUUAUAUGUUCUUUUUAAUGCAUGCUAUUCUAAAACCAGAUAACAAGUACAGUUCCCAAUCAAAGCAAUUGACUUGAAAGACAGUUUUUGUAGUGCAGUAUGAUGCAGAACACACCACGCUAGCAUCAAGAAAUCCCCAGCUUAAAGAUAAAAAUGAUCUCAUUAUUUCAGUUAUGUUUUGAUUUUGACAUUUAUACACUCUUGCUCACUUGAAGAGAAGCUCGCAUAAGAAAAGCUUUGUCCUGCUUUAUAGCAUCCAGACAGCCACACACAAAAAAACAUCAUAUCCUCCAAGGUAUCGACUAUAAUGAAUGGUCCUUCAAUCCAUCUGGUUCUAAUCCUAGGUUAACAAUGAUAAUAUUUUAUUUCUCUAAUGGAUAAGGUAAAUGUUUAAUAAUAUGAAAAAUUAACUGUCCCUUCCCCUCCAUACAUAUCCCAGCAUUUACAGCAAAAUGAACCGGCAAGAUUAGCAAGGUUAACAAACCUCCUGAUCCUAACAAAGCUGUGGCAACACCUGACACAAAUCGUACAACUUUUGGUUCAAUUCGUACAAAUCGGAAGUCUCCAAAAUCAACCUUCAAUAUGAGUAGUUGUUAAUUCUAGAACAACAAGCAGAAGGGAAAAAAUAAGUUGCAAGGAAGAAUGAUGAAUAAAGUUACCCAAAAUGCAUUGGGAUGUCUGGCCAAAUAUGCAGCUCGUAUGGCCGUAUUACCCUUUUCAGGUACCUGAAUAUAAUUUCAGGACGACAUUUAAAUUUUUUGCCCUUCAUAUAAUGAUUCUUUAUUUAAUAACUAUGUAAUCCAAUCAUUAAUUUUAAUAAACAAUAGUAAAAGGAAAUGAAAAUACAAAAAAUAAAUAAUUUAUAACUACUGGGAAAUGAACAAAAGACGGUAACUUACAAAGACAGCGUCACCAUGUAAAGUGAUCACCAAAUCAGUCCUAUCUUCAGGAUCUCUAGCCAGAAGCACUGAACAUUUAGGAUUAGCAGCUAAGUCCUGCAAAGUGUAGAAAACAAUAUUCUUUAGCAAUGGAAGCAAUCUUUUAAUUGGUUUGCGGUGAAAAAAGCAUUCUGAUGAAUUAUAAUUGUAAAAUGACUGUGUGCUGGUUGAGGACAUAAAUGGGAUUUGAAAUUGAAUUUGUGGCCUUUGACAAGCCAAUCUCGAUACUGUGUUCCAGGCAAUUUAUACAAGUUCACAAAUUUGAUGUCAAUUGCUAUUUCUCACAAAACUUUAAAUUAUUUUAUAUUUAUCAUUUUCUAAACAAUAAGAUGUUUGAGAUGAGAAAAAGAAAAUGAAGAAACAAAACCUUCGAAUGAACUGCCAAGUCGCUCAAUGCUAAUAUAGGACAUCCAUCUGCAUCACAUGCAAAGUCAACCAUAGAUCCUGAUGGAUAACCGCCAUACUUCUGCACGUCAAAAAUCAAAAAACUAAAUGAGAAGAAGGUAAUCAAGUUGUCUGCCAAUAAAUACUAAAACAAAAUUAUAUGCCAAAGAUAUGAUCAUAAAGGCUGCUAGCAAAGAUUUCAAUUUAAUGGCUCUAUCGAGCAUGAAUUUUACUAUUUUGUUUGUUAUUAUUGUUGUUGCUGAUAGGAAAGGGUGCUCACAGUACCACGAUAACCUGAUAGUUGGGACAAGAACAGAAGUCUGCAACUAAACUUCCAAACAAGCAAAUUUCUAUCUCUCCAUGUCUCUCUUAUUGGACCAAUCCCAGCAUUUGUAAUUCUUAACGAUACUUUCGUUGUUUUUGCCUAGUGAAAUCUAUCUCGGACCAGGAAAGUUAAUAGCCAUAUGCUACCAUACCAUAACAGUUUAAAUAAAUAAAAAAGACAAUUGCAUCACAUGAAUUACACUCAACAAUAAUCAUUAAAUUUUCACAGGAGACGGUUAAAAACAAUCUGUUACCUUCGAGAAUGUGGAGAGCGUACCACGUAGACUCCGAUCAAGGACAGUUCGAAUCUCUUCAAUUGCUGGAAGUCUUGCAGCUUUUUCCUGCAGCAAUAACCUCAUUAACAUACAAUCAAUCUUCCUAAAAAGACACAUACAAAAUUUAAACUACAAGUAUCGGAUUUUAGCUUCUGGUUUAUCAUAGUUUCACAAUUAAAAAAACCAUAUAAUUCUACACUUUACAGAAACUUUUUUAUAAACUUAUAGAUAUUCGUAGAGAUGUUAAAUGAUACAGCUUCUAAAAUGACAGAAAGUAGAAACUAAUCAAAAAGUUAAAUAAGUGAGCUUCUACAAAAAUUGAUGAAGACUAAUUUAACCAAUUAAGCUUAUACUAUAAAGUUUUUAUCUUUUAAUCACAUUCAUUAAUUAUUUUUUCCAUAAGUGCUUCCAGAGAAUCAAUUAAAAAAAGUGGCUUAAAAGUCAAAAUACCUGAUGAGCCUGAAUUAAUUGAAAGAUAUCAUCUUUUCUUAUGUUAACAUCACCAGAUGACGAUGACGCAACCUGAUUCAUAAACCAGAAAUCACAUUCAUCAAUUGAUUGAAUAAACAAUAAUAUAUAUGAUUGAGCAAAAGAAAACAGAAAAUAAAUAAACAAAUUCAAAUAAUUUAGUGCAAAUUUCAAAAUUUGAAGAUACCGGAGCAGUGGAUUGGGAAGAAGCAGCCAUUGAAAGAGUGGGAGUGGGAGAGGUGAAGGUGAAGGAGUUAGGUAAUGAAGUGUUGCGUGGUUUGGGGGAGAAAGGAAGGGCAUUAUGGGAAAUUGGGCGAAAAUAUGUAGAGACCCUUGUCAAUGGCGUCACCAUAGUCUUCAUCUUGCGGAACACUACAACAACAACAACUGCACCAGAUAUUCCCUUUCUUCUACUAUUUUUUAUUCUUUCUCAAUUUUUUUUGUUUUAUAGUAUUUCAUUUCAUGAGCUACUUUUUUAUUUUCUUUUAAGUUUUAUUUUUUAACCUAUACCUUAAUUAUAUAAAAAUAAAAUAAUAAAAUUUGAUCCACAUAUACAUUACCACAUCACCUUUGUGACUUACAGAAUUCAUUAUUAUUCACAUGAUACAUUGUCAAAAAUAAAUUCCAAAUUCAAUGUUGAGAAAAUAUUGUAAAAUUUUAUAAAAUGCAGGACCAUACAAUACUAUUUUUUGGUAAGACGAGAGAGGUUAUUAUUAGGUGAAAUUACAAAUGAAUACAAGCGAUUAAAAAAGAUAUCGGCAAAAUCAUGUCAUAAAAGGGUAACACAAUUUGGAGGUUAUUAUAUUGUACAUAUUUUUCACUAUGAUUCUGUCUCAAUAGGUGAAUUUUAAUCUACAAACUACUAGUAUUUUGUUAUGUAUCAUUCAUGACUCAUAAGUACUACAUGAAUCGUGCUCUCAAGAUCUUCCCUUAACUUGAGAAAAUUCUUAAAAAGUACCUAGCUUAUUGUGACUCAUCAUCAUCGAUUUCAAAUCAGCUCCAUUUUGUAUUGCAACAUUUAAUUUCAUAGAUGUUCUCAUAUUUGUAUGUACCUACCUACCUGGUCCAAUGUAUCAUAAAAGAUAUUGAUAUCAUCUUCAAAUUAAAAGGCAAAUGUUAAAUAAUGCCCCAGGGGCACUUGUUAAGGAUUCAAAUUUAAAAAGUUUUACUUAGAAAUUAUGUAGUCAAUACAACAAAAAUCUAUAUUUUGAUGUUUUUCAUGCACAACUUUUAUUUUAUUUCUUCUUUUGGUUCCUUAACGAGUGCCCGGGGCACUUGUUAGCAAGACCCAAAUUAAAAUUAGGAGUUAAACUUAAUUCAAUCCUACACUUAUACUUAAAUUCAAUCAUGUUUAGGUCAUCUCACAAUUAAACUCUUAACAACCUCUUCGCACAAACACUUAAUGACCAAAAAUUUUGAAAGUGUAAGAUCAAACAAGUUUUUAUCAUUCCUGAGUCUAACAUGCCUGCAAAUAUAGGUCAUGGAAGAAAUAAAAUAAAAAACAUUUUCACCUUAUGCUUCCAAAUUACGAAAUUAAAUCCAGGUACUAGUACUAUACAGGGAAGAAAGUAUCAAAUGUGGAUAAAUAAUAAAUACAUAGGAGGGGACAUAAACACAAACACAAACACAAACGUUCUUUGACAAACAAAUGAAACCACCAGAAAAACAAAAGCAAAAACCUAAUUAAGAUGUAUAAUAUAAAUAAAUAUAUACAAUAAUAAUAAUAAUAAUUGUUUGGAUUUUGAAUUGAAUUUCAAUCGGAGUGUGGAGUUGAAUAACCAAGGUAGGAGGAAAGGGAGAAGAUGAAACGUUGGAAAGGAAGACAGAAGAUGAGACCCAAAACGGCGUCGCUGCUGAAUCUCUCAGGGUUGCACGCUAUGUAUUGACAUAACCUAGCUGACACGUGCGCUACCCUCAUCACCACGCCGCUGUUCAGUACCAUUCUUCUUCUUCUUCUUCUUCUACGUUCGUCGUUUUGCGAUCUGCACUUGCUUAAGAUCUGUGGUACUUUUUCCUCGCUUUGACGUUUUUGUUAGAUCUAACUAGUAUAAUGGAUGGAAGCGUGUUGUGUUGUGUGUUGUUGUUGUUUGUUUGUUUGGUGGUCCAACUCAAAAUACUAGUAUAUUUUCAAAUUGAGAAAUGACAUAUAUAUAUAUAUGUAUAUAUAUAUAUAUAUAUAUAUAUAUAUGAGUCAGGAUCCGUUGACAC